GAUGAACGCUGGCGGCGUGCCUAAUACAUGCAAGUCGAGCGAACGGACGAGAAGCUUGCUUCUCUGAUGUUAGCGGCGGACGGGUGAGUAACACGUGGAUAACCUACCUAUAAGACUGGGAUAACUUCGGGAAACCGGAGCUAAUACCGGAUAAUAUUUUGAACCGCAUGGUUCAAAAGUGAAAGACGGUCUUGCUGUCACUUAUAGAUGGAUCCGCGCUGCAUUAGCUAGUUGGUAAGGUAACGGCUUACCAAGGCAACGAUGCAUAGCCGACCUGAGAGGGUGAUCGGCCACACUGGAACUGAGACACGGUCCAGACUCCUACGGGGGGCAGCAGUAGCGAAUCUUCCGCAAUGGGCGAAAGCCUGACGGAGCAACGCCGCGUGAGUGAUGAAGGUCUUCGGAUCGUAAAACUCUGUUAUUAGGGAAGAACAUAUGUGUAAGUAACUGUGCACAUCUUGACGGUACCUAAUCAGAAAGCCACGGCUAACUACGUG
rnacentral:rRNA from 1 species